AGAAUUUGAUCUUGGUUCAGGAUGAACGCUAGCUACAGGCUUAACACAUGCAAGUCGAGGGGCAGCAUUGGAGUAGCAAUACUCAGAUGGCGACCGGCGCACGGGUGAGUAACACGUAUCCAACCUGCCGCUUACUCGGGGAUAGCCUUUCGAAAGAAAGAUUAAUACCCGAUGGUAUAAAGAGUUCGCAUGUUCUCUUUAUUAAAGAAUUUCGGUAAGCGAUGGGGAUGCGUUCCAUUAGAUAGUUGGCGGGGUAACGGCCCACCAAGUCUACGAUGGAUAGGGGUUCUGAGAGGAAGGUCCCCCACAUUGGAACUGAGACACGGUCCAAACUCCUACGGGAGGCAGCAGUGAGGAAUAUUGGUCAAUGGACGAGAGUCUGAACCAGCCAAAGUAGCGUGAAGGAUGACUGCCCUAUGGGUUGUAAACUUCUUUUAUAAGGGAAUAAAGUGAGGGACGUGUCCCUUUUUGUAUGUACCUUAUGAAUAAGGAUCGGCUAACUCCGUGCCAGCCGCCGC
rnacentral:rRNA from 1 species